UGAGAUGCUGGCUGGUUAUCCUCCUUUUUGUUCUGAUGAUCCAAGGAUGACUUUUCGCAAGAUAAUAAAUUGGAGAACUUGCCUGAAAUUUCCCGAGGAACCAAGAAUUUCAGAGGAAGCUAAGGACCUGAUCAGCCACUUGCUUUGUGAUGUUGAAACAAGGUUGGGAACACGAGGAGUAGAAGAAAUAAAGGCACAUCCAUGGUUCAAAGG
rnacentral:misc_RNA from 1 species